GUGUCAGCAGCCGCGGUAAUACAGAGGGUGCUAGCGUUAAUCGGAAUUACUGGGCGUAAAGGGUGUGUAGGUGGUUAGAUAAGUCAGAUGUAAAAGCCCUGGGCUCAACCUAGGAAUGUCGUUUGAAACUGUCUAGCUAGAGUACUAUAGAGGGCAGUGGAAUUUCCGGUGUAGCGGUGAAAUGCGUAGAUAUCGGAAGGAACAUCAGUGGCGAAGGCGACUGCCUGGAUAGUUACUGACACUGAGACACGAAAGCAUGGGUAGCAAACAGGAUUAGAUACCCUGGUAGUCCAUGCUGUAAACGAUGAGAACUUGCUGUUGGGGACGAUUAGUUUCUAGUAGCGCAGCUAACGCGUUAAGUUUUCCGCCUGGGGAGUACGGUCGCAAGAUUAAA
rnacentral:rRNA from 1 species